GCUUAAUCGGAGAAGUGCAUCGGAAACUGGAUAACUUGAGUGCAGAAGAGGGUAGUGGAACUCCAUGUGUAGCGGUGGAAUGCGUAGAUAUAUGGAAGAACACCAGUGGCGAAGGCGGCUACCUGGUCUGCAACUGACGCUGAGACUCGAAAGCAUGGGUAGCGAACAGGAUUAGAUACCCUGGUAGCCCAUGCCGUAAACGAUGAGUGCUAGGUGUUGGAGGGUUUCCGCCCUUCAGUGCCGGAGCUAACGCAUUAAGCACUCCGCCUGGGGAGUACGACCGCAAGGUUGAAACUCAAAGGAAUUGACGGGGGCCCGCACAAGCGGUGGAGCAUGUGGUUUAAUUCGAAGCUACGCGAAAAACCUUACCAGGUCUUGACAUCUUGCGCCAACCCUAGAGAUAGGGCGUUUCCUUCGGGAACGCAAUGACAGGUGGUGCAUGGUCGUCGUCAGCUCGUGUCGUGAGAUGUUGGGUUAAGUCCCGCAACGAGCGCAACCCUUGUUACUAGUUGCCAGCAUUAAGUUGGGCACUCUAGUGAGACUGCCGGUGACAAACCGGAGGAAGGUGGGGACGACGUCAGAUCAUCAUGCCCCUUAUGACCUGGGCUACACACGUGCUACAAUGGACGGUACAACG
rnacentral:rRNA from 1 species